UGGAUGUCAUACAUGAUGCAAGGCACACCCUUCCCUGGAGACCAGUGCUGUGUCUGGAAUAGCACCCAUGAGCCUUUCUCAGUGUACUGGACGCUGUACAAACACAGCACAGCUUCAUCAAAAGAUCACAGAAUAAGAAAUGUGGAAGUAUGAGAGUAUGAGAUGCUGAAAUGCUGGAGAUUUGGGCACAUCUUCAUGCAGAUAAAUAGUCAUGUUCUCUCUGUGAGUUUCUGACUGUGAGAAAGCUACUCAUAUAGCCAAGCAAUCACGCUAACAUGCAGCUGCCCUUGUGAUAA
rnacentral:lncRNA from 1 species